GAAAGAUGCAGGGAGGGGUGGCUGAGAUUCAGUAGGAAGGGCCCCAUCCCAGGAGGGGAGUGGAGGGCUGGGGCACAGGUGCCUGAGGAGGACUGGUGGCCCCAGAUGCAGAUGUGGUGACGGGCAGGGAGGAGGUGAGGAGGGUGGAGCUGAGGUGAGGAGGGUGGAGCUCUGCCUGCUGGGCUCCCUUCUCUCCUUGGAAUGGGGGCCAGGUCACCUGCAGGGCUGAGGUCAGAGGCUGGGGUAGGAGGCCUGAAGCUGUGGGGCAGCUGGGAGGUGAUUGGGCUUUCAGUGUUCCAGGGAGGCUCUGGGGGAGGCCCUGCCAUGCCUGGAACCAAGACAGGAGGCCGAUGGGGU
rnacentral:lncRNA from 1 species